rnacentral:rRNA from 1 species
CAUGAUGAACGCUAGCGACAGGCUUAACACAUGCAAGUCGAGGGGCAGCGGGGGUAGCGAUACCCGCCGGCGACCGGCGCACGGGUGAGUAACGCGUAUGCAACUUGCCUAUCAGAGGGGGAUAACCCGGCGAAAGUCGGACUAAUACCGCAUGAAGCAGGGGCCCCGCAUGGGGAUAUUUGCUAAAGAUUCAUCGCUGAUAGAUAGGCAUGCGUUCCAUUAGGCAGUUGGCGGGGUAACGGCCCACCAAGCCGACGAUGGAUAGGGGUUCUGAGAGGAAGGUCCCCCACAUUGGUACUGAGACACGGACCAAACUCCUACGGGAGGCAGCAGUGAGGAAUAUUGGUCAAUGGCCGAGAGGCUGAACCAGCCAAGUCGCGUGAGGGAUGAAGGUUCUAUGGAUCGUAAACCUCUUUUAUAAGGGAAUAAAGUGCGGGACGUGUCCCGUUUUGUAUGUACCUUAUGAAUAAGGAUCGGCUAACUCCGUGCCAGCAGCCGCGGUAAUACGGAGGAUCCGAGCGUUAUCCGGAUUUAUUGGGUUUAAAGGGUGCGUAGGCGGCCUUUUAAGUCAGCGGUGAAAGUCUGUGGCUCAACCAUAGAAUUGCCGUUGAAACUGGGGGGCUUGAGUAUGUUUGAGGCAGGCGGAAUGCGUGGUGUAGCGGUGAAAUGCAUAGAUAUCACGCAGAACCCCGAUUGCGAAGGCAGCCUGCCAAGCCAUUACUGACGCUGAUGCACGAAAGCGUGGGGAUCAAACAGGAUUAGAUACCCUGGUAGUCCACGCAGUAAACGAUGAUCACUAGCUGUUUGCGAUACACUGUAAGCGGCACAGCGAAAGCGUUAAGUGAUCCACCUGGGGAGUACGCCGGCAACGGUGAAACUCAAAGGAAUUGACGGGGGCCCGCACAAGCGGAGGAACAUGUGGUUUAAUUCGAUGAUACGCGAGGAACCUUACCCGGGUUUGAACGCAUUCGGACCGAGGUGGAAACACCUUUUCUAGCAAUAGCCGUUUGCGAGGUGCUGCAUGGUUGUCGUCAGCUCGUGCCGUGAGGUGUCGGCUUAAGUGCCAUAACGAGCGCAACCCUUGCCACUAGUUACUAACAGGUAAAGCUGAGGACUCUGGUGGGACUGCCAGCGUAAGCUGCGAGGAAGGCGGGGAUGACGUCAAAUCAGCACGGCCCUUACAUCCGGGGCGACACACGUGUUACAAUGGCGUGGACAAAGGGAAGCCACCUGGCGACAGGGAGCGAAUCCCCAAACCACGUCUCAGUUCGGAUCGGAGUCUGCAACCCGACUCCGUGAAGCUGGAUUCGCUAGUAAUCGCGCAUCAGCCAUGGCGCGGUGAAUACGUUCCCGGGCCUUGUACACACCGCCCGUCAAGCCAUGGGAGCCGGGGGUACCUGAAGUCCGUAACCGCGAGGAUCGGCCUAGGGUAAAAC